rnacentral:lncRNA from 1 species
AAAAGGUUAAACCUGAAAGAAGCUGAAGGAACCCAAAAGGAAAAUUUACUAGAUGCUAAAAAUCAGAAUAUUCUUUGUUUUUCAUGCCAACUGCUCACUGGAGCUUCAUGUUUAUCAGCCUGCAAGUUAAGAGCAAGACACCAUGAAGAAACCAAGUUCAUGAUAAGAUAACCAAAUAAAAAGGUAUUUUCAGGGUUUUUACUUGAUAAAUUUGUGCAUAUGAUUAACUACUGCUAUGGCAACUUGUACUGUGAGAUCCAAAUAUCAUUCUUCCUAGAAGUUUAUGGAUGUUUUGCAUAGUACAGGCAUACUUGUGAUCAUUUGGAGAAACUCAAUCUAAUAAAGGGUUAUGAUCCUUUUGUCAAUGCGAUGAGUUUCAGUUAGGUAAUUUCAAAUAAUUCAGUUUAUCUAAAACAUAUAUUGCUUUAAUGUUUAUCGUCAUGCAAUAAUUAGCAAUCAUUAAUCAUUGCAUGCUUUUUUGCUAGGUUGGAGGUUUAUCAAUUAUUGAUGGCAAGAAUGCUUAUUUUCAUCAAUGCAGAUUACAACUACAAUUCUACAAUCUGUACGCACUGUUGUUUCCAGGGGAAAUCAAUGUUACUUACUCACCACUAAGUUAGACUGAGUAUUUUAUGCUUCUCUUUUUUGGACUUUCUUUUUUAUUUUAUUUUUCCCAUUGGUAAUUGGGUUCUAAAAAGUGGAUCAUCUUGAUAGUCUGUUUUUCUAAAUCCUUUUUGCAUGUACGGUGUCUAGUGUCACUAACGUUUUUCCUCAAGUAAGUCUGAACUUUGCUGGUGGGGCAUCUCUGCUUUUAAGAUCACGGGACUACCUGAUACAACAUAAUUCUAUUGUAAGUAUUCAAACUUCAAUUGCUAUUUCUUAGAUUCUCUGAGCGUCUUGAGAACAGAUAUUGCUGAUAGCAUUUUGUUCUUCACGUACACUUUAUUGCUUUGUAUUGUCCAACUUUUGUGUACUAUAUGUGACCUCACUAGAUGCUAUGGUGAACCUAUGCAUGUUACAGGGUGGUGCAGCAGUGUGGUGUAUUGGUUUUCAAAAAAUCCAAGGUCAAGGGGUAACAAUUCUAGGAGGAAUAAUCCAUCCAUACCAAUUUGAAAACUUUAUGUCCUAUAUUCAUCUCUUUUAUGGUGACAUCUAGCAUGGAUAAAUGGACUAAGCUCAUCACAUAUUUAAUAUUGCAAGUUUCAUUUUUAACUUAAUUCUGCUCCACUCUUGCCAAUAUUUAUUGGAGACCAAUUAAAAUCUGUUUAAUUUAUUCUUGAUUCUGGAGUGAUCUAGGACUAUAUUACUGUACUGAAAUAUAUAAUAAUAUGGAGUUAUACUAAAAUUUGUCUAAUUUAACAUCGAUCUAAGUGAUUUGAAAUUAUAUUAUAUAAUAACUUGGAGUUAUAAUAAGUGGUUUAAACCAAAACAUUACAUCAGUAAUUUUCACAAUUCUGCAUUUUUGUUCUCUUUCAUUUCUCAAAUAUGGUCACAAAGGAGAUGCAUAAUCAGUAGAAAAAGGAUUAGAUAAGCUCCAACAUUCAUAACAUCUUUGUUACACUUUAUAGGAGGAAUAACAACCAAAUAUGAGGUGGAUUGAAGAUUCAAUCACCACAAAACAAAAUGGGCUAUCAUCAGAAAGAACUUUCAUUUUCAGUAAUUGAUCAUGCAUUUAAAUUUUGUUAUACAACUAAUUUCUCAUGAUGCUGCUUUAGCUCUUUAUAACAACUUCAAAAGACCAUUUACCUCACCAAAAGAACUUCUUAAGACUUCACACACCACUUUAAUUGUUUGUUUGGACUGAGAAGUGAAAAUAAGAUAGCAAAGAAGGAAAGAAAGAAAAGAGAGAAAAAGUGAAAUAUUUGAUUGUUUAAUAAAAGAGAGUAAAAAAAUGAAGAAAAAUGAAACAAUAAUUUAAUUGAUUUGAUAGAUUAAAAAAAUUAAUUGACAUAUUUAAUAAAUGAACAAAGUUUCCUUUUCUUAAAAAUGAAUUUUUGAUUAAAUGUUAAUAAAUUUUAAGUGUUUUUCCUAUAAAUUGGAUUUUCACUGUAAAAUAAUAAUU